UGGCCUCAGAUCAGGGAGGAUCACCCGCCGAA
rnacentral:rRNA from 2 species